GUGAUUUUGUCUGGAGUUGUUCAGUUCACAUGUGAUGUGGGAAGAGGAACCGAAGUGAGAUUGGGUCCUAUUGGUGAUCAUGAAAGUGUUUCCAGUGACACUGGUAUGCACUGGACUUGGAUGUCUAGAGUGAGUUUCUGAGAAAUAAACAGUAACGUGAGUGAGGAAAACACAAGUUGGAGAUCAUUUAUCAGCUGGAAGGUGAAGCCAAAAGCAGUGGAAGCAGGGGGUUACCUCCUGGGCUGGGAAGAGGACCCGUUCCAGUACAAAAAUAGAUGUGUGCUCAGUAAUGCAUUGGCAUCAUCGGACUUCGAAGAGUGUCUCUAAAACCUAGAGGAGACGGUGGGUCUAUUCCUUUCCAGCUGUGGCCUUGGGUCUGUCUGCAGUUCCUACUCAUGUUUCAAGGGCUGGUAGCAAAAUUUUGGUGUAGUGGUAGCCUUUCUGCUCCUUUACCGGGAGACAAGAAAGAUGAUAAUAUUUCUUUGGGAAGGGGAGGCAAAAUGCAAUAAUCUAGGUAGUGUGGCGUGUAUAUAGAGCUCCUAUACAUGUAUUAGAGGAAGGGUUAAUUCAGAGACAGCUGUGCUCCUAAGGAGCAAAUGAAGGAAAGAUUUCCUGCUGAGCUCUUAAGUGCAGUCUCUGGGGAUAAUGGGAGGAGAGUAGCUGAAGAUAGAAAACAGUGAGCCAAGACCAAAUCCCCAGAGAAGACAUAUGUAAGUGUUCUCAAGUGAUGCUUUGCCAGUAUCUUUUUCCCUUGGUACUAGAACAGGUUUUGAAGUCGUGAGUCAAUACUUGAAAGUGUUCUUCAGUUCUGUGGGCUUUUAAAAAUGGUAGCUAGGGCGUUUAGGUUGUGGAGAUUUGUUUACAGCAAUUUUGACUGUAUUCUCAGUCUGUGUAUUGGGAGGACUGAGGCAGUGCAGGGGGACUGGUCUAAACACAGAGCAGAAAUUAAAUGAUUGGGGCUCCCUCCUCCUCCAGCCCUGGCCACCCUGUGAAUCAAAAGGCCGGUCUUGAGAGGCCAUAGAGUCCUGAACAUGCACCAUGGUAUGCUGAAGGGAGAUGGGGGCUGGUUUCAGGAGCAGAUCAGAAACCAGGGAUACCUGUGCUUUGUUGUGAGAGGAAGCAGGGUGCAUGCAGCUGAGCCCCAGGACAAUGUCAGCCUCAGCAGCCCUUAGUUGCUUCCUUCCACAGCCAAAGAUUUGGAUUUCAUGUCAGCCUGCGUGCCAGCACAGCCCUGUUGAUACCUCUCUGGGAUGGGAAUGGCAUCUGAACAUUUCACAGUCUGCAUGUGACUCAAGGUGGUCAUGCCAGAUCUUCUCCCAGACCUUUACUGCUUCUCUUCAGAAGUUGAGCACCUACAAGCAGAUUUACAAAACUCUAAAGCUUUGGUUGCCUUCCUUUAGGCAAACCUUGUAUCUCUAAAUGUACAUGUUAAAUAUUUUACCUGGAUGGUUAGAGGUGUUGAGCACUUCUUGCUCUUCUGUGGUUAAGUGGAAGUUGAUGGUAUACUGACUGUCCGGAUUGGAAACAAAAAACCUGAGAGGUCCCUGUUCUAGUAAGGGCCCACUUGGCUGCAUGCUUAGGAAUAGUGGCUGGGAAUCAUGCCUACAAAGAGCCUCUAGAGAUGUUUCAGCAGUAGGGAAAGGGAAGAAAGGGCAACGUUAUUUGGACCAUCAGUCAUGAAAGUUUUCCUGUUGGGGAAAGAAUAAGAGGGGAAAAGGGGCUGGUACUUGGGACCUGUAACCUUUAAAAGAGACUGAAUAGAAGUCCCAGGUGGAAACACAUAAUUUGCUGUGUCCAUCGCCAAGGAAGAGACACAAGAUCUGGGGUGCAUGGCAUCUUUUCUUCUGUCUGUAAAGCAGUGGUAAGUUACUACAGCUUUGGAGUUUUUCCACAUGUAGAGGUGAAAUUGUGUACAAGUGAGGUGCUGAAUUCUGUGCCUCCCUCUGGGGCACCUCACUAUCUUCUGCAAAGUGUCUCAAAUGCAGCAAGACUUUUCCCCUACAAAGAGAUGAAACCUUGAUGAGAUUUUUUGAUAUGUCAUCUCUAGCUUGACCUGAUUCUCUUAGAACUUCCAAGUACCUGUAAAUUAAGGGCCACAGAAGAAGAAGAAGAAAAAAAUAGUGCAUUAAAAUGAGUGUGAUGAAGUGGAGAAUCAGGCCUUCUGAGGAAAUUUGUUGUUUUUUUUAGAAAUAUAUGAUAACAAAGAUCAAAUGAGCAAACCCUUACCAACAAAAAAAACAAUAUUA